rnacentral:tRNA from 1 species
AUUUAAAUAGCUUAUAUAGAGUGUAAUAUUGAAGAUAUUAAGGAAAAUUUUAUAUUUUUUAGAUA